AUUGAACGCUGGCGGCAGGCCUAACACAUGCAAGUCGAGCGGAUGAAGGGAGCUUGCUCCUGGAUUCAGCGGCGGACGGGUGAGUAAUGCCUAGGAAUCUGCCUGGUAGUGGGGGAUAACGUCCGGGAACGGGCGCUAAUACCGCAUACGUCCUGAGGGAGAAAGUGGGGGAUCUUCGGACCUCACGCUAUCAGAUGAGCCUAGGUCGGAUUAGCUAGUUGGUGGGGUAAAGGCCUACCAAGGCGACGAUCCGUAACUGGUCUGAGAGGAUGAUCAGUCACACUGGAACUGAGACACGGUCCAGACUCCUACGGGAGGCAGCAGUGGGGAAUAUUGGACAAUGGGCGAAAGCCUGAUCCAGCCAUGCCGCGUGUGUGAAGAAGGUCUUCGGAUUGUAAAGCACUCUAAGUUGGGAGGAAGGGCAGUAAGUUAAUACCUUGCUGUUUUGACGUUACCAACAGAAUAAGCACCGGCUAACUUCGUG
rnacentral:rRNA from 1 species